GAGUACUGAAGAAGCAUCCAAUGCGCCCCGUGGAGGCCCCCUUGCUUGCUUUUAUUGGGAGUGCGCCUUACUUGCCAUAGCAAAAGGGAGAGAGAAAGAGAGGCGGGGUGAGACCGUGGGCGUUCGCCUAUCCAUGCUGCUUUGCCACGCCGUAGGCCUUCUCGACUUGGGUGAGCUCCUUCCGUGUGUGCUCGAGCCGUUGAACUGGCGGAGACCCUCUUCACACCAUCCCCACUCCUCGCCACAUAUCGUCUGCCGGUGCUUGAGAGCGAGCAGAGAAACGGAUCGGCCUUUCAUGCGAUUGGGCUUCGCGAUUGAGCCGUGUUUCUACAUUCGAUUGCCCACUUGUUGUGUCCCUUUUCGUGCACGUUCUCCAUCAUGCGCGCUAGGCCCAAUCCCUCUCUCCUUUCCGAGUACUACCCAACGAGUAGCAGCUCUCUGGAACAGCACACGCACCUGCGCAUCCUAUGGCUUCCGCUUUCAGUGUGCUUUCUGUGGAGCGGCGAAACGCUUCACGCCAAGUCAGUGACCGGUGCAGCGGCGACGACGACGGCGGCGGCGGCAGCAGCAGCAGACGCUUGCACAGCGUCGCCGACUAGAGGCUCCUCUCCAACCGCAAGCAAUAAAAGCUUGCCAACGCCGUCGAACGCGAGCAUUGGCCGCGUUUCCUUUUUGAGAGGCCGAAACGCAGAAGCCUUUGCGGGCGUCGAUGAAACCGUGAGCGGCUACGAGGUGGCACUGCGGCGUAGUCUUACCCUGCACCCACCUGUUUCAGCCUCGGAGCUCUCCUGGGCCUUGUUCCCCGCGGCGUCCAGCAUCUUCGCAUCGCCCAACACGUCUGGCGAGGAAAGCGGGCGCGAAAAGGGACUCUCGCUUGUUGACCCAUCCGCAUCGUUGCCGUUUUCUCUCACCAGCGACCUCGGCACUUCCCAUUGGGAGAAUAUGGACAGCCAUCGCGCCACCAUGGCCGUAGUGGUUGUGGUCAACGCCGCCGUCCUCACCGUCUCUGUCGAGCACGCGGUGCAGGUCGUCAGCAUCAUAUUCACUUCGCAGUUCAAGGAUAAGGUGUGCCGCUGCGUCGUGGUGGAUCCUCCCGAAGCGCUCGCCGAAAAGCUCUCGAGCUCGUCUCUGUAUCUGUGCGUCUCAGAGUCCAUACCAGUGAGCCAGACCGUGCGGAAGCUACUCCUGUGUGUGGCGCAGGCGGUGGUCGAUGCCCAAGGCACCGCGCUGCGGCGUUACAGUCAGCUCGACAAGGCAGAUAACACGGCCGUACGAACGCCCAUUGAUAAGCUCGCCACAUUCACAACGGCGCGCAACGCGAGCACGUUGAUUGCCUCCCGCUUCAAGAAGAAAGCGGCGGACGUACUCCUGCAGUUUGGCGCUGUGGCUGCCGCUGUGGCCGUGUACGGUGAAACUCAGUUUAACUCGAAUGUCGACUGUCUCUGGUGCUCAGCAACGUUAGAGAGCAUUGCUGCCGCUCGGUAUCGCUAUCUGCAGACGACGCUACUCUGCCACCGCGACGCGCUUAACGCCACAGUCCUGCAGCUUCAGAGCGACAACCCCACCUGGGGACCGGACCUGGCCGCCUCCGUGAACCAGCUCGACUCUUGUGUGGCGCAGUAUAGUGAGAGUCUGAAGCAGACGAUAGCGAGCUUCAAGAGCGCAUCGGUGCCCAACUCGAUGCGGGCGCGACUGACGCGCGAAGUGGAGGAAAAUGUGGCGGCGCAGGUCGCGCUACUGAAGGGGCUUCUCGUGCGAGUGCACGUGUGCUUGAACGCUGGUACGUGGGAAGUGCCGUGCGACCCGCAGUCGUAUCGCCUGGGCAGCGACGUGAAGCGUUGCGUCGAGAAUGUGCUGCGCCUGGCGUUCAGUGAAAUCGACGUCUAUUUGAGCGAGUCACUGCGGCAGCUGAGAAGGUGCGCAGCAGCGGGUACGCUGAUGUUCUACCCCUCAGCCGUGGCGGCAACCACCUCGCUCCUCGGCAGCGGAGGCACGAGUAACGCAAUGGUGAAUACGACUCUCGCCAUGCUGCGAAAGCGGGAGUUGGAGGCGCGCUUUAAGCGACUCGAGCUGCUCGCUGCACGGGAAGCACGGCAGCCUUUCCUCGAGGAGUUGAGCACAUUGCGCAGUCUCUUCCCUGGCAUCUACGGAGCCGAGUGGACGGAGCGCAGCCUACCCUUCUUUGCGUACUUGUGCAUGAUCAACGGUGCUGAGCGUCGCGCGCGGGCGCUGCUGGUGGAAUUCGCCUCCAUCAAGGCACGUCUGCAGCACACGGAAGAGGCUGCCGAGGUGCUCCUGCGCGUGUGCGCACUGGCUGGCGUUGGACUCCCGCUUAUCGGGCUUCAAGCCUCGAGCAGCACUGCAAGCGACGACGGGGUCACCCUAGAUACUGCCAAAUCGGCGGACCCGCUGUAUCAGCUUAGCCGCGCAGCGACCGCCACACAAGUUGCGCAGCAGGUGGAAGACAGCGAUGCUGUCGAGCCGGCGGCGAACGGGAACACGCCAAUAGGCGCAUCCUUUAGCAUGUUCAGCUCCGUGGAAGAAAAGGCUCCCGAUCGCGGCGUCGUACGGCUGAAUCAGUCGAUCACCAACGCGGCGCUACUGAACGUGCCACUGCUGCUCGAGCUCAUCAACGUCUUCGAUCGCGUGGCCCCUGCGACGGCCACGGCGGCGCUGCGUUGUCAACUGGCGACGCUCCUCCUCUUCAAGUUUCCGCACCUCCUCGAGAAAGCAACGCAGCGGACCCUCAAAUCCGUUAUGCGUGAAGCGUCCGCGCUGCUCGAGCCGCAGAUGAGCACAGCCAUUGUGCCGUCCCCGUUCUUUCUGGCGUGGGAAGCUUUCCCGCUGCCGCCGCAUCUCGCACCCAAGACGGUGCCUGUUGGGGGUGCCUUCUUCACCUUCAUUGACACGCAGCGGCUGAAGCUGACCAUCCUCUGCCUGAAUGGCAGGAAACUGGGUAGUCGGACCGUGUGGACGGUCGGCGACGUCGCGUCCGUUCUGAUGACGUUGUACAACCCUUUUCAGGAAUCCCUCACGUUUGACGCACUGGCCUUGCGCUGCCGCUCCUGUGCUUCUCUCGUCGCGGACGACGACGAUGCCUCCUCCGGAGAAGGUGUGGUGUCGGCCUCUUCGUCGCACACGCUGAGCGCGCCCAUCUCGUAUGUGUUGUCGAAUGUAGAGGUGCCCCCGCUCGCGAAGCGCAAGGUCUUGCUCAAGGUGCAACCAACCGAAGAAGGUACCCUGCUUAUCGACGGCGUAACGCUGCGGCUGGCAGACACACGCUCGUCGCAGUCGAUGACCGGGCAGCUUCCGGCACCCAUGUACAUCCCGGUACUGGAGCGAUUACCGCAGGUGUCCUGCACCCUAAACACGAGCGAGCUGGAGGUGUUCGGAACCCAACGCAUCGACUUCACGGUGCGGGUGGUCAACUGCGGCCGCGUACCCAUCAGCUGCAUCUCCCUCACGGCGCACAGCGAGCAGUGCCAGCUGGAGGGCUGUGAAGGCUGCAAGGAGCGCCGCAAUGAGACAGACACAACGGUGACGCUGAACAAGCGCGCCCUCGACGCUGCGGCGCGCACACCGCUGCAGCCUGGUGACGUCGUCAUGAUUCCAGGAACCCUGGAGGCGCCACCGACAAUAAGCAAAUUCGGCGCGCACUACGUUAUCUUCCGCACCGAUCUCUCACUACCCCAUCCUGCGCCGCAAAAGCCGCGCAACGUGCCGGACGCCGUGCCCGUGUACGCGGUCAUCCCGCGGCGCGUGACGGAGACGCGGCUGCGCCUGUUUCAUUCUCCCGGUCUCGUCGUCACGUCUGUGGCGCUAACAAAGGACCGCCGUGCGGUGGAAGUGCGCGUCGCGAAUCGAAGUCGCCUCUACAGCAUGGAGCUGCAGCUGAGCGCCCUGACAUUUGCAGAGCUUCCGGUCGCCUUCAUCGUCGCCGGUGCCGAGUACGUGGUUCCGCCGAUAAAGCUGACGCGCAUUCCGCCGACGAAGGAAAAGGACGGCCUGCGUUUCCAUGUACCGUGGGUCGUGCGCGAACUACCUAAUUGCACUGGCACGCUGGAGCUGAACUUGUCGCUCAUUGGCACUGAGGUGGUGAGCGCGGAGCCGCUGGACGAGUGUGUGGUGACUCUCGAGGCCAGCGUGCCGCAGACAGCACUGCCGCCGCAUCCCUCCGACGCCUGGUCAUCGUCGGCGCUCCCUGACGAAAGCAGAGACUACGUCGUCGCCGAAGACCCGCAGACGGAUCCGUUGGGCGACGGAGCGGUGCUGCUCUAUCGGUGGGAGUACGACGGAGACUCCUCCUACGGCGGAGCAGAGACAAGCCCUGUCGUUUCUCGUGCCAAAGUCUGCCGCGGCGCCCGCCUCUACGACGCCACAGGCACCGUCACGGCGACAGCCGUGUACGACAGCCCUCCGCAGUCGCCGCCGACGGCAGUCCAGCACCUGACGCACCCAAGGGCAGCGCCGGCGUCAGAGUCUCUCUUGGAUUCGCCAGCCUCGAUCUCCGCUUUGUUGUGGCGCCACACAGAUUCGAUGGAUUCGGGUGCAAAAGCGAGCGCUAGUGCACCGCAGGCUUUGCAUCGAGCCAGGACUGCGCUACCGCGAAUCGGCGGCUGUGAGAGUGGCACGCUCAGCACUCGCGGCGACGGCACCCCAGUACCGAUCGUCAUCCCUGCCUUAAGACCGAUUUGUCUGUGCCUGCGUGUUGCAGCUCCGCGGUGGCGCCGCGCCAUCCCCCUUCACGUGCACGUGUCCAUUGACUCGCACUUUGACGUGGCGGUGCUAACUGGUGCCGUGCAGGCCGAUGCAAUAGUCGGCGAGGAGGGUCGAGCGGUGUACGAGGGCGAGUUUGAGCUGUUCGCCUUCAAGACCGGAGAGCAUCUCCUGCAUGUCACCAUUACGGACGACGCCGAGCGGGAGCUGACGCACACGAUCCAGCUGAUUGUGGAACACGCACGCAUGUCAUGACCAGCGGCACGUUGACAUAGACGCACACGCAAGCACACGCGACGGCUCAUUCAAAGAGCGGGCGCUGUCAAGUGAUUUGCGGACGCACGUGUGACGAGAGACGAGGAGGUUCGUGGCCUGUGGGAAAGGGGGUGGGGAUCACGCGGCGCGCUCUCUUGACCCAGAGAGGCAGCGGCGAGAGCGCGUGAAGUGAAAGCCGUCAACGGUGCGCUCAAUGUUCUGCUCUUGGGUUGGUGAUGUUGUGGAGCGAGAUCGCCUUUUUCGUUUGCUUGUUUGUGUUUGCCUGUGCCUGUGUAACGCCUUGUUGGAGUCACCCCAAUGGAUGACGGCGUUGCCAGGUGUGUGUGCGCACCAUUCGCGCC
rnacentral:misc_RNA from 1 species